GAUGAACGCUGGCGGCGUGCCUAAUACAUGCAAGUCGAGCGAACGGACGAGAAGCUUGCUUCUCUGAUGUUAGCGGCGGACGGGUGAGUAACACGUUGAUAACCUACCUAUAAGACUGGGAUAACUUCGGGAAACCGGAGCUAAUACCGGAUAAUAUUUUGAACCGCGUGGUUCAAAAGUGAAAGACGGUCUUGCUGUCACUUAUAGAUGGAUCCGCGCUGCAUUAGCUAGUUGGUAAGGUAACGGCUUACCAAGGCAACGAUGCAUAGCCGACCUGAGAGGGUGAUCGGCCACACUGGAACUGAGACACGGUCCAGACUCCUACGGGAGGCAGCAGUAGGGAAUCUUCCGCAAUGGGCGAAAGCCUGACGGAGCAACGCCGCGUGAGUGAUGAAGGUCUUCGGAUCGUAAAACUCUGUUAUUAGGGAAGAACAUAUGUGUAAGUAACUGUGCACAUCUUGACGGUACCUAAUCAGAAAGCCACGGCUAACUACGUG
rnacentral:rRNA from 1 species